GCACUAUUGAGGAGUCCCAUACCAGGACGAAACGGCAGUCUAGUGC
rfam:Schistosoma haematobium scaffold273_17, whole genome shotgun sequence.